GCCGGGGUGGCGAAACUGGUAGACGCAUCAGACUCAAAAUCUGACGGUGGUAACACCAUGCCGGUUCGAUUCCGGCCCUCGGUA
rnacentral:tRNA from 1 species